UAAAUAGGAAAACCGGCUCUCUGCCUGUGU
rnacentral:piRNA from 1 species